rnacentral:rRNA from 1 species
AAACGCUGAGCGGCACGCCUAAUACAUGCAAGUCGAACGAAGUCUUCAGAAAAGCUUGCUUUUUCAAAAAGACUUAGCGGCGAAACGGGUGAGUAACACGUAGGGAACCUGCCCAUGUGCCUGGGAUAACAGAUGGAAACGUCUGCUAAAACCGGAUAGGUAUGAGGAUCGCAUGAGCCUCAUAUUAAAAGAGCGCUAGCUCUGAACAUGGAUGGACCUGCGGCGCAUUAGCUAGUUGGCGGGGUAACGGCCCACCAAGGCAACGAUGCGUAGCCGACCUGAGAGGGUGAACGGCCACAUUGGGACUGAGACACGGCCCAAACUCCUACGGGAGGCAGCAGUAGGGAAUUUUCGUCAAUGGAGGGAACUCUGAACGAGCAAUGCCGCGUGAGUGAAGAAGGUCUUCGGAUCGUAAAGCUCUGUUGUAAGAGAAAAACGGUGGAUAUAGGAAAUGAUGUCCAAGUGAUGGUAUCUUACCAGAAAGCCACGGCUAACUACGUGCCAGCAGCCGCGGUAAUACGUAGGUGGCAAGCGUUAUCCGGAAUGAUUGGGCGUAAAGGGUGCGUAGGUGGUGCAUUAAGUCUGAAGUAAAAGCCAGCAGCUCAACUGCUGUAAGCUUUGGAAACUGGUGUACUAGAGUGCAGGAGAGGGCGAUGGAAUUCCAUGUGUAGCGGUAAAAUGCGUAGAUAUAUGGAGGAACACCAGUGGCGAAGGCGGUCGCCUGGCCUGUAACUGACACUGAGGCACGAAAGCGUGGGGAGCAAAUAGGAUUAGAUACCCUAGUAGUCCACGCCGUAAACGAUGAGAACUAAGUGUUGGAGAGAUUCAGUGCUGCAGUUAACGCAAUAAGUUCUCCGCCUGGGGAGUAUGCACGCAAGUGUGAAACUCAAAGGAAUUGACGGGGGCCCGCACAAGCGGUGGAGUAUGUGGUUUAAUUCGAAGCAACGCGAAGAACCUUACCAGGCCUUGACAUCGAGUGACGAUCCCAGAGAUGGGAUUUCCCUUCGGGGCACGAAGACAGGUGGUGCAUGGUUGUCGUCAGCUCGUGUCGUGAGAUGUUGGGUUAAGUCCCGCAACGAGCGCAACCCUUACUAUUAGUUGCUACGCAAGAGCACUCUAAUAGGACUGCCGUUGAUAAAACGGAGGAAGGUGGGGAUGACGUCAAAUCAUCAUGCCCUUUAUGACCUGGGCUACACACGUACUACAAUGGCGUUUAACAAAGAGAAGCGAAACCGCGAGGUUGAGCAAAUCCCCAAAAAACGUCUCAGUUCAGAUUGCAGGCUGCAACUCGCCUGCAUGAAGUCGGAAUUGCUAGUAAUCGUAGGUCAGCAUACUACGGUGAAUACGUUCCCGGGCCU